rnacentral:rRNA from 1 species
GAUGAACGCUGGCGGCGUGCCUAAUACAUGCAAGUCGAGCGAACAGACGAGGAGCUUGCCCCUCUGACGUUAGCGGCGGACGGGUGAGUAACACGUGGAUAACCUACCUAUAAGACUGGGAUAACUUCGGGAAACCGGAGCUAAUACCGGAUAAUAUAUUGAACCGCAUGGUUCAAUAGUGAAAGACGGUUUUGCUGUCACUUAUAGAUGGAUCCGCGCCGCAUUAGCUAGUUGGUAAGGUAACGGCUUACCAAGGCGACGAUGCGUAGCCGACCUGAGAGGGUGAUCGGCCACACUGGAACUGAGACACGGUCCAGACUCCUACGGGAGGCAGCAGUAGGGAAUCUUCCGCAAUGGGCGAAAGCCUGACGGAGCAACGCCGCGUGAGUGAUGAAGGUCUUCGGAUCGUAAAACUCUGUUAUUAGGGAAGAACAAAUGUGUAAGUAACUAUGCACGUCUUGACGGUACCUAAUCAGAAGGCCACGGCUAACUACGUG